rnacentral:rRNA from 1 species
GAGUUUGAUCAUGGCUCAGAUUGAACGCUGGCGGCAGGCCUAACACAUGCAAGUCGAACGGUAACAGGAAGAAGCUUGCUUCUUUGCUGACGAGUGGCGGACGGGUGAGUAAUGUCUGGGAAACUGCCUGAUGGAGGGGGAUAACUACUGGAAACGGUAGCUAAUACCGCAUAACGUCGCAAGACCAAAGAGGGGGACCUUCGGGCCUCUUGCCAUCGGAUGUGCCCAGAUGGGAUUAGCUAGUAGGUGGGGUAACGGCUCACCUAGGCGACGAUCCCUAGCUGGUCUGAGAGGAUGACCAGCCACACUGGAACUGAGACACGGUCCAGACUCCUACGGGAGGCAGCAGUGGGGAAUAUUGCACAAUGGGCGCAAGCCUGAUGCAGCCAUGCCGCGUGUAUGAAGAAGGCCUUCGGGUUGUAAAGUACUUUCAGCGGGGAGGAAGGGAGUAAAGUUAAUACCUUUGCUCAUUGACGUUACCCGCAGAAGAAGCACCGGCUAACUCCGUGCCAGCAGCCGCGGUAAUACGGAGGGUGCAAGCGUUAAUCGGAAUUACUGGGCGUAAAGCGCACGCAGGCGGUUUGUUAAGUCAGAUGUGAAAUCCCCGGGCUCAACCUGGGAACUGCAUCUGAUACUGGCAGGCUUGAGUCUCGUAGAGGGGGGUAGAAUUCCAGGUGUAGCGGUGAAAUGCGUAGAGAUCUGGAGGAAUACCGGUGACGAAGGCGGCCCCCUGGACGAAGACUGACGCUCAGGUGCGAAAGUGUGGGGAGCAAACAGGAUUAGAUACCCUGGUAGUCCACGCCGUAAACGAUGUCGACUUGGAGGUUGUGCCCUUGAGGCGUGGCUUCCGGAGCUAACGCGUUAAGUCGACCGCCUGGGGAGUACGGCCGCAAGGUUAAAACUCAAAUGAAUUGACGGGGGCCCGCACAAGCGGUGGAGCAUGUGGUUUAAUUCGAUGCAACGCGAAGAACCUUACCUGGUCUUGACAUCCACGGAAGUUUUCAGAGAUGAGAAUGUGCCUUCGGGAACCGUGAGACAGGUGCUGCAUGGCUGUCGUCAGCUCGUGUUGUGAAAUGUUGGGUUAAGUCCCGCAACGAGCGCAACCCUUAUCCUUUGUUGCCAGCGGUCCGGCCGGGAACUCAAAGGAGACUGCCAGUGAUAAACUGGAGGAAGGUGGGGAUGACGUCAAGUCAUCAUGGCCCUUACGACCAGGGCUACACACGUGCUACAAUGGCGCAUACAAAGAGAAGCGACCUCGCGAGAGCAAGCGGACCUCAUAAAGUGCGUCGUAGUCCGGAUUGGAGUCUGCAACUCGACUCCAUGAAGUCGGAAUCGCUAGUAAUCGUGGAUCAGAAUGCCACGGUGAAUACGUUCCCGGGCCUUGUACACACCGCCCGUCACACCAUGGGAGUGGGUUGCAAAAGAAGUAGGUAGCUUAACCUUCGGGAGGGCGCUUACCACUUUGUGAUUCAUGACUGGGGUGAAGUCGUAACAAGGUA